AACGUAGGAGACAAACGUUAUCCGGAGUUACUGGGCGUAAAGGGCGUGUAGACGGUUAGUUAAGUCUGGCGUGAAAGCUCUCGGCUAAACCGGGAGAGGUCGUUGGAUACUGGCAAACUAGAGGACAGUAGAGGCGUGUGGAAUUCCGGGUGUAGUGGUGAAAUGCGUAGAGAUCCGGAGGAACACCAGUGGCGAAGGCGACACGCUGGGCCGUACCUGACGCUAAAGCGCGACAGCAUGGGGAGCAAACGGG
rnacentral:rRNA from 1 species